GGUGUGUGUGUAUGGGGGGGUGGGGUAAAUGUUAACAUCCAGGCCAUAUGUAGGUCUGUGGUCCAGGACCGUAUACAGGAAAGUUUUCACAGCGCAAUAUUACUAACUACUGUAUAUCACUAGUGUUCUAACAUGCUUUCAGUGCCAACUUGGCUAUUGUUGGUCUUUGCUAGGUUUUUACAUGCCUGUCGUAUGAGCACUAGUUUUAGGCCCAAACUUUUCAUCGCAGCUUUAGUACUAAAAACGUUUCCUUUUAAAUAACGGGAAACAUCUUAAAGUAUAUAAAUAGCAAAUAGCAACAUAACGCAGCCUGAAUCAGAGGGGUUCAGGAAAAGUUGUCUGGUUAUCUGACCCAGUGGUGCCAGCUGCAGGGCUGACAGGCCCCGGUGCCAAGUGAGUCCACCUGGGAGCUCAGAGAUGUGCAAGCACAAGCACCAUUGGCCAAGUGUAGAAGGGGUUGGUGCCAGUCUGAUUUCAUGGGCCAUUUCACACACCACAGUGGAACAACUUUCCACAGCAUUUAUUUCUUUAUUUAUCUUUUUGUUUAUUUCAAUCUUGGCAUGUCAAAACUUUACCAGCAGGGGUCAGUCUUUGCCUAAUAAAUAUGAGAAUGUUGUUCAUGAGAAUUUUAGGAGAGAAAAGGGAUUGCAGAAAUCUUUCUUUAUUGUUUAUUUUCUUCUCUCUCCAUGUCUCUCAUUCUCUUUGUCUGUCUGAUUCUCUUACGCUCUGCCUCUGUGAGAUUUAGAAAGUGGUUCUCUCACUGUACAGCUGUCAGGUAACACGGGAGAGAGACCAGUGAGGGAGAGAGGGGAAGAGAGGAAGACAGAGAGAGAGAGUGGACAAAGGUGCUCAGUGCACAGUGUCUGCAACAUCUGAAGUCUGCCUCUGCUUCUCAGGAGACACUGGUGCCAUUUAACAGUUCAACAAACUAAAGUUCGAAACGCAUGAAAUAUACAUGGACAGAAGGAGUUUUGAGGGUUCCCCCCCCUCUCUGAACAGAUGAAAUGGAGAUUUGACUUCACAUUGUCAUCAUAUGCAGGCUACAAAACACAGAUGCAGGAUCGAUUGUUCAGGAGGCAUUACGAAUGAUGUGCUCCUCUGAAAUUUGGUGCAAAGCUAAUGCAAAUCGUAUCAAUAAGCUGGCAGUUGAGUUAACGGCAGUGGACAAAAGUUUCUCAGUAGUAUUGUUCAUGUGGGUGACAGCUGAGAUUCAUCUCCACAGCUGCACAGGCUGCUUGUUCGGCUGGCAAUCUGGUUGGCUCUUCCAUUACGGACUGGGGCUGGCCCAAGGCUUUUCCCCGGUCUUAAACACCGGUGCGUGCCUCAUUGUGUUUCCAUAAGGUGCUGUAACAUUGGGGACACUAUCUAACAAUGCUAAGAAACUUCUAAGUAGUGCUUAGCAACGAC